rnacentral:lncRNA from 1 species
GCUGCAGCUUGGUAUUGCAGCUUGUUAAGAAGUAAUUUACUAUGUGAUUCCAACCCACAUGGAGCAAGUGCCAAAUUCAAGGCAGUGCUACAACCAGAUAUAGUCUUACCUGAAUUCAUCGUUCUACCUUGCCCCAGUGCUUUUUCUGGUGGCAUGUCUGUCUUCCCAUAUCCUAGAUUCCACAAGAGAAAUCACCAUACGUAUGCCCUUCACACCUAGAUGGCCAAGAUGUCUUUGUCGUCUCCUUGAAAAGAAGCAGAAUUGACAGAGACAGAUGGAAGCUUCAUCUUCUUUAUCU